UUAUAAGCAUUGAACAAGAGCAACCAAGAACUAGGUAACUUCCAGAAAAAAGUCCAUUAGCUGCGAGGACUUAGUUAUCAUCUUGGUUGGUAGCUUGGGAGCUGUUAGCCUGAAAGUUUAGUAGGGUUAGCCGGAUAUCUAUUCGUUAACUAGAAACAAGUGGGGCAUAAAAGCCCAAUUUAGGUGGUACCACGGCACUGUCGUCCUAAGU
rnacentral:ncRNA from 1 species